rnacentral:rRNA from 1 species
AUUGAACGCUGGCGGCAUGCUUUACGCAUGCAAGUCGAACGGUAACAGGCCGCAAGGUGCUGACGAGUGGCGAACGGGUGAGUAAUGCAUCGGAACGUGCCCAGUCGUGGGGGAUAACGCAGCGAAAGCUGUGCUAAUACCGCAUACGAUCUAUGGAUGAAAGCGGGGGACCGUAAGGCCUCGCGCGAUUGGAGCGGCCGAUGUCAGAUUAGGUAGUUGGGGGGGUAAAGGCUCACCAAGCCAACGAUCUGUAGCUGGUCUGAGAGGACGACCAGCCACACUGGGACUGGGACACGGCCCAGACUCCCACGGGAGGCAGCAGUGGGGAAUUUUGGACAAUGGGCGCAAGCCUGAUCCAGCAAUGCCGCGUGCAGGAAGAAGGCCUUCGGGUUGUAAACUGCUUUUGUGCGGAACGAAAAGGUUUGGGUUAAUACCCUGGGCCGAUGACGGUACCGUAAGAAUAAGCACCGGCUAACUACGUGCCAGCCGCCGCCGUAA